rnacentral:rRNA from 1 species
GUGACCUGCGGAAGGAUCAUUACCGAGUGAGGGCCCUCUGGGUCCAACCUCCCACCCGUGUUUAUUUUACCUUGUUGCUUCGGCGGGCCCGCCUUAACUGGCCGCCGGGGGGCUCACGCCCCCGGGCCCGCGCCCGCCGAAGACACCCUCGAACUCUGUCUGAAGAUUGAAGUCUGAGUGAAAAUAUAAAUUAUUUAAAACUUUCAACAACGGAUCUCUUGGUUCCGGCAUCGAUGAAGAACGCAGCGAAAUGCGAUACGUAAUGUGAAUUGCAAAUUCAGUGAAUCAUCGAGUCUUUGAACGCACAUUGCGCCCCCUGGUAUUCCGGGGGGCAUGCCUGUCCGAGCGUCAUUGCUGCCCUCAAGCCCGGCUUGUGUGUUGGGCCCCGUCCUCCGAUCUCCGGGGGACGGGCCCGAAAGGCAGCGGCGGCACCGCGUCCGGUCCUCGAGCGUAUGGGGCUUUGUCACCCGCUCUGUAGGCCCGGCCGGCGCUUGCCGAUCAACCCAAAUUUUUAUCCAGGUUGACCUCGGAUCAGGUAGGGAUACCCGCUGAACUUAAGCAUAUCAAUAAGCGGAGGAAAAGAAACCAACAGGGAUUGCCCCAGUAACGGCGAGUGAAGCGGCAAGAGCUCAAAUUUGAAAGCUGGCUCCUUCGGGGUCCGCAUUGUAAUUUGCAGAGGAUGCUUCGGGAGCGGUCCCCAUCUAAGUGCCCUGGAACGGGACGUCAUAGAGGGUGAGAAUCCCGUAU